CCCUGGAGCUGGGAAGUGAUGGACAAAACUGAGACUCAACCAAUCCGAGCUUGAGAGAGGGGGAUAAAAAAAUUGGAAACCCCCUGAACAGAAGGCUGAGUUUACAAACAGAAUCCUUAAGACAAACAGGCCUGCUGGAGCCAUUGUGGGUGGGUGCCUGUGAAUUCCAGCUGAAGAGCAUGUUGGCCCCUGAGAGGUGAGUGCCUGAAGGUGUUUGUCUCCUGAGCAAGGAGGGGAAUUUCUUAUCUCUGCUCUCACAGUAAUAAUUGAGUUAAAUAUUCCACUUCCCCAGGUCUAAAAUCUGGGUACAACAGGUCUCCUGUGAGAGAGGGUUCUAAAGCUGAUCAGACUCAGGGCUGAGCCAGAGGUAAAUGGACAUUCACUUGGGGAUUUACUCAACUUUUCUUCUUUUGAGAUAUAUAACGUUAUAUUAGUUUUAGGUGUGCAACAUAAUGAUUGAUAUUUGUGUAUGUUGUGAAAUGAUCUCAACAAGUCUAGAUAACAUCCUUCACCAACAACUUUUUUUUUAAACUUUGGUUUCCAAGAUUUUAAGAAAGUUAUUUCCAUUAGAAUAGCCAGAUACAUUAAUUUUUGUCAUACUUCUCAGAAAAGUGUGAGUAUAGAAUUAAGUAAAAUAAUUUUUGAAUGAAUCCACGAAUAAAGGAGUUAUUGAAUAAAGGGAGGGAUGAAUG
rnacentral:lncRNA from 1 species